AGCGAACGCUGGCGGCAGGCUUAACACAUGCAAGUCGAACGGGCAUAGCAAUAUGUCAGUGGCAGACGGGUGAGUAACGCGUGGGAACGUACCUUUUGGUUCGGAACAACACAGGGAAACUUGUGCUAAUACCGGAUAAGCCCUUACGGGGAAAGAUUUAUCGCCGAAAGAUCGGCCCGCGUCUGAUUAGCUAGUUGGUAGGGUAAUGGCCUACCAAGGCGACGAUCAGUAGCUGGUCUGAGAGGAUGAUCAGCCACAUUGGGACUGAGACACGGCCCAAACUCCCACGGGAGGCAGCAGUGGGGAAUAUUGGACAAUGGGCGAAAGCCUGAUCCAGCCAUGCCGCGUGAGUGAUGAAGGCCCUAGGGUUGUAAAGCUCUUUUGUGCGGGAAGAUAAUGACGGUACCGCAAGAAUAAGCCCCGGCUAACUUCGUG
rnacentral:rRNA from 1 species